UAGUUACUUGGUGAUAAUUAUUAAUACUGGCUACACAAAAAGUGUCAAUAGCAUUACCUUUGCAAUUGCACCACUAAUAAAAACACAGGAAUCAAACAGACGAAUAAAAUGCUCCCUGCCCACACAGCCAUAACAUCCUAUGGCCCUGAAAAUAGUCCUGCCAAACUGCGUGCAGUGGACACUUCACGGCUGGCACAGGAGAGAUCACAAGGCCUUGCUCAAUUUCAUCAAAAGUGUUAAAGCGACUCAGCAGAUUGUGAAGCACAAGUGGAAGCUGAUAAUUGGUGUUUCUUACAAAUCAACGGCUUGUCUCCACACAUCAAGGUGAGAAAAUCAAUGUAAAAG
rnacentral:lncRNA from 10 species